CAGUUUUGAGUGCUUGAGCUGCACACGGUGCGCUGAGGAGCAAGGAGGGAAAAAAUGUCCGUUUCUGAGCCGUGCUGAGAGCACGAACUGCUCGGCUCGGCCGCCUCCGUGCAGCAAAAGCACUACAAAUAAUUAGAUUAGUGUUUCCCUGGCACAGGUGCUGAACCCGACACGGAGCAGCGCCAUGGAGCGGGGCGGGCAGCCGGACAGCGCGGAGCAUCGCGAGCAGUUGGUAACGUUUGGCAGCUUAACAGAGAAAAAAAUGACUGCUAGGGAAAUCUCAACCGCCGCUAAUUAGCAGCAAUGAACUGUGGAUGAAGCCUUCUCACACACCGUACCAAAGACUUUUAAAAAGCCACAAGCAUCAGCUGUAGAUGUCUACUUUGUUCCAAAGCCCCUUUUGUCCCUGGCCAUGGGGCUGUCCUGGAGCACCAUGGAUGUCCCCACACUGGCAGCAGGGCCUGAGCAGCCAUGGGAGGAUGCGCUGCUGGACAGACAUGGGCAGCACCAGCGGUGCAAGUGCAAAGGAUGAAACUGCCCUGGAGAGAGAAUGGGCUCAGCACAUGACAACGCAGACGUGGCUGUGCUCAGGAUUACCAUGCCUGGACGUGGGAGCAAGAAACCUGAACUUGCUGUGGGUUGAAAAAGUCUGAAAUUACAUUCUUGGUGAUGUAAGAGAUCUUCCGAUCCCUGGGAUUUUUCACUGAUGUCAUUACGGACACAAGUACCAUCUGUUUCCUACAUGUAGGUACGUGAGAUUCCUGCACCUUGUAAACCGGAGCUGGGUGACCAUUGGCUCUUGGAAUCUCAAGAUGUACACCCAAAAUCUUUCGUCUUUUCUUAACUUUUUCUUCCCAGUAAGAAGCAGCUGCCUCUACAAAGACUGAGGUUUCAGGGAUGCUCAAAGAUGACGCCUCAUGGGAGCGGAGACGAUGCUGUCGCCCUGCAACUCCCUCUAGGACCCCAUGGUAGUAAUUAAUAAGAAGCCAAGUUCUCAACUAGCUGUGACAAAUUGGAAAGCUGUGAAUUUGGAGAUAAGAGCGGAGGGUCACAGUUUAUUUGUAACUGGGUUAUCUAAUCGUAAUAAGCACUUACAGCAAAAAGCAUCAUAAAAGAAAAUAGUGCGGUACAAGAACCUUGGAGUAAUUGGGUUUUCCCACACAAAUAAGAUCCACGUAGCAGAAGAAUUUCCCUUUGAAGCAGCUGUUAUGAAUUUUGGGUCCACAGUUUCCAUUAGCCCCUCGUCAUUGCU
ensembl:lncRNA